AAAAACAUGUCUUUUUGUAAAUAAUUUAAGGUUUAAUCUGCCCACUGAUGAAAAUUGAAGGGCUGCAGUAUAUUGACUGUACAAAGGUAGCAUAAUCAAUAGUCUUUUAAUUGAAGACUUGUAUGAAUGAUUUGAUGAAAUAUAAACUGUCUCUGAUUUAAAUAUAGAAUUUAAUUUUUUAGUCAAAAAGCUAAAAUGAUUUUAAAAGACGAGAAGACCCUAUAGAGUUUUAUAUUUAAAUUAUUUAAUAUUUUAUAUAUAAAUUAUAAUAAAAAUUAAUUAAAAUAUUUUAUUGGGGUGAUAGAAAAAUUUAAGAAACUUUUUUUAAAAAAAAUCAUAAAUAAAUGAAAUAAUGAUCCAUAAUUAAUGAUUAAAAGAAAAAAUUACCUUAGGGAUAACAGCGUAAUUUUUUUUUUUAGUUCAAAUAAGAAAAAGAGAUUGCGACCUCGAUGUUGGAUUAAGAUAAAAUUUAAAUGCAAAAGUUUAAAAUUUUGAUCUGUUCGAUCAUUAAAAUCUUACAUGAUCUGA
rnacentral:rRNA from 1 species